CUGCAUAACUGUUGUGACUGCCUUCUCUGCUGUGAGGAGUGUGGACCAUUCAAUCAUGCUACAGCAGACCAGGAGAGUUAACAGGGCCACCAGUCUCUCAAGAUCAGACUGAGUCGGUAGUAUAAUACUCUCACACUA
ensembl:snoRNA small nucleolar RNA U109